rnacentral:rRNA from 1 species
GGUUGAUCCUGCCAGUAGUCAUAUGCUUGUCCCAAAGAUUAAGCCAUGCAUGUCUAAGUAUAAACAAAUCUAUACUGUGAAACUGCGAAUGGCUCAUUAAAUCAGUUAUAAUUUAUUUGAGAGUCUCUUUACUACUUGGAUAACCGUGGUAAUUCUAGAGCUAAUACAUGCAAAAAGCCCGACUUCUGGAAGGGCUGUAUUUAUUAGAUAAAAAACCAAUGCCGGAAACGGCUUCUUGGUGAUUCAUAAUAACUUUGCGGAUCGUAUGGCCUUGAGCUGACGACGUUUCAUU